rnacentral:SRP_RNA from 1 species
UGGAAGACUAGACUGGGAGGUUAGCUCUCUCCUGUUACCUCAAACGGGCUUUAGAGGAGUUGAAGUUCGAAGAGCAGGAUUAAUUUCAAGUAUUAGUCCUAUGGUGUUCGUCGAUCCUUUGUCCUUGAGGACUUUUAUUUUUGAAAACCGUGUCAGACCAGGAAUGGAGCAGCACUAAUCUUUAAUGAGGGUGUCUUAAGGGUCGCGAAGGGGAGGAUAUUAUAGGAAUAAACUAGUUCUUGUUAUUGGUUCUCAUCUUUGAACGCGUCUUCCA